rnacentral:rRNA from 1 species
AACGAACGCUGGCGGCAGGCUUAACACAUGCAAGUCGAGCGAAGACUUCGGUCUUAGCGGCGGACGGGUGAGUAACACGUGGAUAACCUGCCCUCGGCACCGGAAUAGCCCGGGGAAACCCGGAUUAAUGCCGGAUAGCCCCACAUCCCUGCGGGGAACGUGGGAAAAGGUAGCUUCGGCCUCUGGCCGAGGAUGGGUCCGCGGUGGAUUAGCUUGUUGGUGCGGGUAAUGGCCCACCAAGGCGACGAUCCAUAGCUGGUCUGAGAGGACGAUCAGCCACACUGGGACUGAGACACGGCCCAGACUCCUACGGGAGGCAGCAGUGGGGAAUCUUGCGCAAUGGGCGAAAGCCUGACGCAGCGACGCCGCGUGCGGGAAGAAGGCCUUCGGGUUGUAAACCGCUUUCAGGAGGGACGAAGCCACUCGGGUGAAUAGCCCAGAGGGUGACGGUACCUCCAGAAGAAGCCCCGGCUAACUACGUGCCAGCAGCCGCCGUAAAAC